CACGUAGCUAAUCUACCUUCAAGACCUGGAUAACGUUCGGAAACGAACGCUAAUACGGGAUAAGCUCACAUCGAAUAGAGAGAUGUGAGAAAAGCUGAGGCGCUUGAAGAUGAGGCUGCGGCCCAUCAGCUAGUUGGUGAGGUAAGAGCUCACCAAGGCUUCGACGGGUAGGGGACCUGAGAGGGUGACCCCCCACACUGGGACUGAGACACGGCCCAGACUCCUACGGGAGGCAGCGGUGAGGAAUAUUGCCCAAUGGACGAAAGUCUGAGGCAGCGACGCCGCGUGGGUGAAGAAGGUUUUCGGAUCGUAAAACCCUUUUCUGUGUGACGAGAGAGGACGGUAGCACAGGAAUAAGUGUCGGCUAACUACGUG
rnacentral:rRNA from 1 species